AGCUAACAGAGAAGUACAAUGUAGUAUAAUGAAGCUAACAUUUGGGAGAGUACAUCUCUUAUUCCAGCAUUCCUGACCUUAGUCCCAAGAGCAAUUGAAAACACAGCAGCAGUGACAGAAAUUUCACAGAAAGUCGUCACGCUACCCACAGUGAUAAGAUAAUUAUUGAUAUUCCUGAGAACAAGAUCAAGGACAAACAACUCAACCUCUCCUUUUGGAAGAAGGGCAUGAAGACAGACUCGCCCUAGACAUCUGUAUUUCAACUGAAACAAAAAGGCAGCCUGCUCCUGAAGCACACAGAGAGAUAUCCCACAUUUAAAGGAACAGAAUGAACAGAAACAAAAAGAUGCAGAAACAAAACAAAUAUAGAAGUAC